AGGAGAAUAGUCUUGUACUUAAGACACUGGACUGGGAUUCAGGAGACAGGGUUCAAUUUCCGGUUUUUCUA
rnacentral:tRNA from 1 species